AAAGGUAAAUAAGGGCACUAAUAGUGGAUGCCUUGACAAUCAAUACCGAUGAAGGACGUAGAACUCUGCGAUAAGUCUUGGGGAGCUGAGAGCAAGCUUUGAUCCAGGAAUUUCCGAAUGGGGCAACCUAAUACGAGUCAUGUCGUAUUGCAAUUACUUGAACACAUAGAGUAAUUUAGACGGGAACCAACCGAACUGAAUCAUCUUAGUAGGUUGAGGAAAAGAGAAUAAACAAUGAUUCCGAAAGUAGUGGCGAGCGAAAUUGGAACAGCCUAAACCUUAACAUAACCAUACGGUUUAACGGCCAGAGUUAUGAAAGGGGUUGCGAAAUAAGAUAAUUUUUAUGCUGAGGUAUUGGAAAUCCGAUAUUUCAGUAUAAAAACCAACAUCGUUAAAUGAGUGGAUAAUGUUAUAAAACUUAGAUCAUAGCGGAAGUGUUUGAAUGGCACACCAAAGAAGGUGAGAGUCCUGUAUGCGAAAUGGUCUUAGACAUUAUAUAUCUUUUUUCAAGUAGGACGGGGCACGAGAAACCCUGUUUGAAUCUGGCAGGACCACCUGCCAAGGCUAAAUAUAUUGAUUGAUCGAUAGCGAACUAGUACAGUGAUGGAAAGGUGAAAAGAACCCCGGGAGGGGAGUGAAAUAGAUCCUGAAACUUAGUGCCUACAAGGUGUCGGAGCAGCUUCGGCUGUGACGGCGUGCUUUUUGUAGAACGAUCCAGCGAGUUAAUGUUGUCGGCGAGGCUAAGUCAGAUGAUGGAGCCACAGUGAAAGCGAGCCUUAACAGGGCGACAAGUCGGCAGUAUUAGACCCGAAACCGGGUGACCUAACCAUGAGCAGGUUGAAGCUGCAGUAACAUGCAGUGGAGGACCGAACCAGGAUACGCAGUAAAGUGUUUGGAUGACUUGUGGUUAGCGGUGAAAUGCCAAUCGAACUCGGAGAUAGCUGGUUCUCCUCGAAAUAGCUUUAGGGCUAGCGUUGUGUUAGUAAUCACCAGGGGUAGAGCUCUGAAAAGGUUUGGGGCCGGCAACGGUACCCACCCUUAUCAAACUACGAAUACUGGUGGUGUAACCACAGCAGUCAGAACGGCGGGGCUAAGCUCGUCGCUCAAAAGGGAAACAGCCCAGAUCAUCGUCUAAGGUCCCCAAUUAACACUAAGUGGGAAACAAAGUGAAGUUUCUUAAACAGCUAGGAUGUUGGCUUAGAAGCAGCCAUUCAUUUAAAGAGUGCGUAACAGCUCACUAGUCAAGAGAUUUUGCGUGGAAAAUGUAACGGGGCUAAAGUGUUAAACCGAAGACAUGGACUUCAUAUUUUAUGGAGUGGUAGAGGAGCGUUGAUAUCGCAGUGAAGUCAGAUUGUAAAGUCUGGUGGAGCGUUAUCAAGUGAGAAUGCUGGAAUCAGUAACCUUAAGACAGGUGAGAAUCCUGUCGGUCGUAAGAGCAAGGUUUCCAGGGCUACAGUAAUUGUCCCUGGGUUAGUCGGUCCUAAGCCGAGGCGCAUCAGCGUAGGCGAUGGACAACAGGUUAAUAUUCCUGUACAGGUAGUAGUUGUUAACAGUUCACGGUGAGUGACCAGAGCGGAUCAAUGGUUUAUCCGUCCAAGGUUUCAAGGAAUUGAAACUGAGUGAAAGGUAUUCUUCGGAAUAUUGAUUCUGGGUACAACGCUGGCUAGAAAAGCUGGUUAACUUAUGCUGCUGCCUACCGUACCGCAAACCAACACCGGUGCUCGGGUCGAGUAGACCAAGACCUACGUGAGAACCUUCGCUAAGGAACUCGGCAAAAAAGCGUCCGUAACUUCGGAAUAAGGACUGCCCUCUCAUUAAGAUGAGGAUUUGCUAGAAACUUGGUGGAAACAUAAGGUUAAUAGUAUUUACCUAAUAAUUUAACCAAAUUUUUCGUCAAGACAGAACACAUCAGGAAAUAUCCUGUGAUAUCUUUUCUAGUAACUCAAUCGUCAUUUUGAUGAGAGGGUCGCAGCUAAAGAGCCCACGGAACUGUUUAACAAAAACAUAGGUCUCUGCUAACGCGAAAGCGGAUGUAUAGGGGCUGACUCCUGCCCGGUGUCGGAAGGUUAAGGGGAGAGCUUUACGGUUCGAACUGAAGCCCCGAUGAACGGCGGCGAUAACUAUGAUCGUCCUAAGGUAGCGAAAUUCCUUGUCUGGUAAGUUCAGACCCGCACGAAUGGAGUAAUCAUGUGGGCACUGUCUCGGCGAAGGCCACGGUGAACGUGCAUUGGCGGUAAAGAUGCCGUCUGAUCAUGCCAGGACGAGAAGACCCCAUGGAGCUUUACUACAACUUUGCAUUGAUUAUUGGGACAUUUUGUGUAGAAUAGGUGGAAGACUUUGAAGCAGAUACGCUAGUAUUUGUGGAGUCGAAAUGUGAAAUACCACCCUGAAUGUUUUAGUAAUCUCACUUUUGACCUUAUCGGCCAAGAGGACCGUGCAUGGCGGGUAGUUUAACUGGGGCGGUUGCCUCCUAAAGAGUAGCGGAGGCGUUCAAAGGUUGGCUAGCUACGGAUGGAAAUCGUAGCGAUAGUGUAUGCGCAAAAGCCAGCUUGACUGUGAGGGCCACAACCCAAUCAGACACGAAAGUGGGAGCAAAUGACCCGCUGUACAGAACUUCGGUUCAAUUUACGUGGGAAAGACAGCGCACACGGAUAAAAGUUACCCUGGGGAUAACAGGCUGAUCGCGCCCAAUAGUUCACAUAGACGGCGCGGUUUGGCACCUCGAUGUCGGCUCAUCACAUCCUGGAGGGGGAGCACCUUCCAAGGGUCCGGCUGUUCGCCGGUUAAAGUGGUACGCGAGCUGGGUUCAGAACGUCGUGAGACAGUUCGGUUUAUAUCCGGCAUGAUCGUUAGGAAUUUUGAGGAGAUCUACCCUUAGUACGAGAGGACCGGGGCGGACGAACCUCUAGUGUAUCGGUUGUGACCACCUGUUGCAUUGCCGAGUAGCUAUGUUCGGAAGAGAUAAGCGCUGAAAGCAUAUUAAGCGCGAAGCCCACUCCAAGAUUAGAAUUCCCUAUGAGCUCCCAGAGAGAAGAUCUGGUUGAUAGGUGCAAGAUGGAAGUAUCGUAAGAUAUGGAGUCGAAGCAUACUAAUAGAGCCAUCGCCUUUUUAUG
rnacentral:rRNA from 1 species